GUUUCCCCUUUUUUAAUACGUAGUCAAAAAGUAAGCCAUGGCAGGGUUUUUAAUCAUUUGAGAAAUGUAAGACAUACCCCGAAAAUAAGCCAUACUUCCGCGAUGUGCGGAGCAAGACCACUGAGCGCCCCAACCAGCUAGCGGGACCCAGCACGCUGGCUGUAAGAGGAGGAGGAAGCCUGCCGGGUCGGGUCGGUGCCCGGAAGCGGCGGCGGCCCGGAAGCGGCGGCAGCAAUGCCGAUAAAGCGUGCAGCAGUGCCGCACGGAGCACCGAGGGCACAAGCUAGCAGAACCCAGCUCCUGCAAUGCCGGCCGCGGCAGGAGGAAGAAGCCUGCCAGGUCGGGUCAGCGUCCGGAAGCGGCGGCGGCUGCAGCGCUGACAAAGCGCGAAGCAGCGCCGCACGGAGCACCAAGGGCACGAGCGUCAGGAGGAAAGAGAGAGGGGCUCGUUGCUUGCGGAGAGAAAAGUGUGGGCUCGUUGCAGGUUUACCUCACAGCUGAGGGGGCAGCAGGGGCCAAGCACCUUCCCACCCCUCCCCAGAGCCCAGCCCGCAGGCUGCUCCCCUCAGGAAAUGCGGCUCUUCCCGUCCCCGAGGAGAGCCGCCGGCCCUGGAGCGCCUCUCUGCCGCCCAAGUGAGGCUCUCGAAAGGCCGUCUCAGAAGCGGGCAGCUCCCUUACGCCAUCUCCGUAUCCCGCCGGCGGGGUUACUCAACCCGUUCGGCAGGACUGCCCCCGCCCCCGCCUCUUUGCAGAGUUUGUGCAGCUUGUGCGGCUCUGCCUAACUUCUUGCGCGGCAGGCAGGCGGGCGUCCUCCCAUCGGCGCGGCGAGCUUUGCAGAAUCAGGUGCUGCAACUCGGAAGCCGGCCAGGCGAAGCUUAGCUGCCAAUCAAAAGGACAGGGGUGUAUGCAAGACGUUCUCCUUAGUUGCUUGGACCAGUUUGGUGAUGGUGAUGAUUAUGCCCUUUGUUGAGUCGGUAGAAUUGUAGAGUUAGAAGGGACCCUCGGGGGUCAUCUAGUCCAACCCCCUACAAUGCAAAAAUCUCAGCUAGGUCAUACAUGGCAGGUGGCCAUCCAGCCUCUGCUUAAAAGCCUCCAAGGAAGGAGAGCCCUUGACUCAGGAUGGGUAGGAGGGGAAAGGGAGAGAAUGCAUAAGGAUCCCAGGUUUAACCGCCAGGUACCCCCAAGUUUGAAAUCCUGGAGAGCUGCUGCCAGCCUGGUUGACAGCAAUAAUGGUAGAGGACACACGUAGCAUGACAAAAGAAUAUUUUUUUUUUAAAAAAAAUCCCAGUUUCAAUUGCUGCCAUUGCUUGCUGUGUAUUAUGUAUUGUAUUUAAAUAAUCACCUUAUUUUCUUGUUUCAUUUAAUGGAUGUUAUGUACAUCAUGUUGUGCAUUAUGUUACAGGAUUAUGUUGUAAAACCUGGAUAGCUCAGUUGGCUAGAGUGUGGUGCUGAUAAUGCACAUGGAAGAGAGCGCCGAGCAUCCUGAGCCAGUGGGACCCAGUUGUACCGGCACUUUAAAAAAAAGAAAGAAAAAAAGACACCCCCUGAAAAUAAGCCACCGUGUGGUUUUUUGAGGGGAAAAAGUUAUAAGACGGUGUCUUAAAAAAGGGGAAACACGCUAUAGUUCACAAGUGCACUGCACACAAGUUACCACUUAAAGAUUCUUGGGAUCCCACGAAACUGGAUCAGCUACUUUGAAAGUGCCCAGUCUCUAAAUUUGUGUCAUGGACUGGUUGGACGCAGAGGAAUGGUGGGAGGAACCAGCUGGGAAACCACCAAGGGAGAGGUUGGCUGCACACAGGCAAAGUCUCCUCUGCUUGGAAAAAGCCCUGGAGAGGAGGGAACUUAGGCGGCUGUGGGGAGGCAGGGACUUUCAGUUUCGGCAACUGAUUCAUGGGGCCAGACCUCCUACCAGGGAUGAGCUGCUGUGCUCAUUGGGCCUGACAACACUGCAUCAAGUCUGUGGAGAUGGUGAUUUUGCUAAUAAAGUGUUAACUCAAA